CGGAGAAUGCAGUGGGAUCAGAACCCUAGAGUGGGCAUGAAGAGGAGAAAAAACAAAUUCUGAAAUCACCAUGGAAACACUACAGAGAUAACCUUCAUAUUCUGGGCAUCAGCACAAUCCUCCAAAUCCCUUUUGAAAACAAAUGCAUCCUUAUUGCUACGGCAGCCACUUAAUCUAGACACAAAUACAGCUAUAUUAGGUGCACUGUAAUGAAAAGUGAGGAAAGGAGAGUAGAGGAGGAGGAGGAGAGAUAAAAUAUUUUAGAGAACAUUUAUAAACAUUCCUUGUAAAGUUGAUAAACAAUCUUUGAAAGACACAGAAUCCAAAAUACAUACGAAGAUUAUGUGGAUUACAAAAGAAAGCACUGCUCAACUUGACCCUAUCAGCUUUACCUGACUUCCUGGGAGGUACAGAACAAGAUUAUUAUUAUGAACGUAAGCCAUCAUCUUGUUAAUGCAGUACACACUAUGUUCAGAGGGUUGUGGAGACGAGAAUGAUAGAGAGG